rnacentral:lncRNA from 1 species
CUCGCAGCCAGACCCAGCAAACCUUCUCUCAAGUCAGUUGCCAUCUUCUCUCCAUUUUAUUAGCGACGCACCAUGUCGACCUGCGGCAACUGCGACUGCGCUGACAAGAGCCAGUGCGUGUAAGUAGUCUCUCACCAUGGAAGCCCUACCUAACGCAUAGCAUAGCGGUCGCAGGUCCCUUUAAAAUCACUAAAGUGAAGGAGGAGGGGGGGGGGGGGGGAACAAAAGGUUCUCGUGUUAGCUUCUGUUUAUAGAUUUUCUCAUAAGAAAAGUGCACUAAGCUAACGAAUCUAUUUGGUGACUGCAGGAAGAAGGGAAAUGGCUAUGGCAUCGUGAUCACCGAGACUGAAAAGAGGUAUUAAUCAGUUCUAAUAACUAAAUAAUACAUCUGCAAAAAAAAUCCGACAUUCUGUGCUCAUCAGUGCAUGAUGUGCUCGUGUUGUGUGUACAUACGUAUGCAUGUUUAUGUAUAUUAGUAAAGAUAUUAAUGAAAAAAAGACAGUACUCAAAUUUGGCUCGACAUAUGUAGUUAUUCCAUGGGCCUUGGAUGGUGAAUAUGGUUUAAGAACUCUACGGAUUGUCAUGAAAAGGCCCAAAUCUUUUCACCGUUCAGCCUCAAGUCAUGAUGCACAUAAACCUGUUCUAAAGAUUUUAGUUUUUUUUUUCCUCUCUUUGGUAGCUCUGGNNNNNNNNNNNNNNNNNNNNNNNNNNNNNNNNNNNNNNNNNNNNNNNNNNNAGCUACUUCGAGGAAGUCGUUGAGGUCGCAGCAGCUACGGAGCCUGACUGCAAGUGCGGUUCCAACUGCACCUGCGCUGGUUGCAACUGUGGCAAAUGAAAGCCUAUCUGCUAAAAUUAUUACUAUGUAAGCAAGGGAAUGAAAAAUGAAGCAAGUUAUCUAGGGUUUGGUUGUGGAGGAGUGUCAUUCUAUGAAGUGGUGAUGUAAGUCUGGGAGUAAGCUAAUGUCCAACUAUCUCAGCUAAGCAAUGUCUCCUCCCUAUCAUGUUUAAUGGACUUAUAUUAAAAAUAAGAUCUGGCUUUGGUUUG